rnacentral:rRNA from 1 species
UACAGAGGUGGCAAGCGUUGUUCGGAAUUACUGGCGUAAAGGGCGCGUAGGCGGCUUGGUCAGUCCCGUGUGAAAUCCCUCGGCUCAACUGAGGAACUGCACGGGAAACUGCCUGGCUUGAGUUCGGGAGAGGGAAGCGGAAUUCCGGGUGUAGCGGUGAAUGACGUAGAUAUCUGGAGGAAUACCGGUGGCGAAGGCGGCAUCCUGGACCGGCAUUGACGCUGAGGAGCGAAAGCCAGGGAGCAAGCGGGA